UUAUACUGUCCACCACCCUCAUUUGCACCUUCAUCUCUAUUUUUUUUUCAAUUCCUUCAUCUUCUUUUGCUCUCAAAUCAAAAUAGAACCACAACCACCUCCUUUUAACUUUUGUUCUCCAACCACUACAACUGAGCCCUCCACCACCAUUAAAAACCUCCUAACCACCGUAGACGCCGCCCAUUUCCACUCCUCCUUCCUUCUACCGUCGUGCAUCACCGUGAGUUGUCGUGACCGCCACCAUGAACUGCCGCCACCGUCGGACCACCGUCGUCGUCAUCGCCAGUGACCAAAAUUUUCCUUUUUGAUUUCUCUUUCUUUUGUCAAUUUCUUAGUGACUACAACUCAUAUUUUUCUUUCACUUAUUCGAUUACUUUAGAUCACUCAAACAUCAAUCUCAUUCUAUUCUUGAUCCUUCAAUCAUCUCGUAUUAAAUCAAGUGACCAAACAACGCCAAGCAAAAAGACCCUUAGUGUGAUAACGAAGACAACAAAUCCAAGUUUCGAUUUAAGGGUAAUUCUUGUAAUUGAGGCUCAGAUUCGGAUCUUCGGAGGGGCUCUCCGGUUAACGAUCUUUUGGUCAUGGAUUUUCUUUUAAAUAAUGUGGGACUUUUAAUAACUAUAUGAGUUCAUUUUGGAUUUUUAUUAUAGACUUUAAUUUGAUUUUGUCUUAAUAAUUUUUUUGGACUUUA